rnacentral:rRNA from 1 species
AACACAAACCCCGGCGCUCAAUGCGUCAAGGAAUUUAAAAUUUGCUCUGAGCGCACCUGCAUGGCACCGGAGACGGUUUUCGUGCGGGUCGUGUUCUGACACAUAAUAUAGAAUGACUCUCGGCAACGGAUAUCUAGGCUCUUGCAUCGAUGAAGAACGUAGCGAAAUGCGAUACUUGGUGUGAAUUGCAGAAUCCCGUGAACCAUCGAGUCUUUGAACGCAAGUUGCGCCCGAUGCCAUUAGGUUGAGGGCACGUCUGCCUGGGUGUCACAUAUCGAAGCCUCUUGCCAAUUUCCUAUUGAUAGGUAUUGUGCAGGGUGAAUGUUGGCCUCCCGUGAGCUCCAUCGUCUCAUGGUUGGCUGAAAAUCGAGACCUUGGUAGGGUGUGCCAUGAUAGAUGGUGGCUGUGUUACGCACGAGACCAAAUCAUGUGCUGCUCUAUCGAAUUUAGCCUCUUUUACCCAUAUGCGUUUCUAAGCGCUCGUGAUGAGACCUCAGGUCAGGCGGGGCUACCCGCUGAAUUUAAGCAUAUCAAUAAGCGGAGGAAAAGAAACUAACAAGGAUUCC